rnacentral:lncRNA from 12 species
UCCCUCUCCCCCCGGCGCUCCGGGCUCCCCGCCCUUCGGGGGACGGAGGCGUAGUCCGGUGGCGAAGUUUGGCUGGUGCAAUUAUUAUUAUCAGCAUCUAGAAAGCAUCACACGGAGCAUUGACCUUCAUGCUGCAUUGUUCUUACUGGAUCCUCCUAUCCGUGAACAUUAUGCCAAGUACCAAUACAGCAUCAAGUCAUUUCUGGAUGGAAAGUUUUCAAACUUCUUCAUUUGGAGUUACUUAAACGUGAGGGUGUUGGGAUUUUUGAGGAUGCCUUCCCUAUGUGGAUUAUUACAGUUUGAUGACUGAUUCUCUGCCUCAAAGAAGAUUAUUUUGCUAUCUGGAAACUCAUGCCCACCUCUUUGACUUCGGGUCAAAAUUGCUUUCCUCACAGUCUGACUGGGAAAGUUGUAAAACAUUAGAAUGUCCUUCAGCGGUGGGCUGUGGAAUGUCAUUACUCUCAGGUGACUACGGAAGCAUUAGCACCCUGCAUGCUCAGGUGGCCCCCACUCCUACGGACACAGCUCUUUCACCUAUACGGUUUUCUUCUGUAUUUCCUGAUAUAAGUCUCCCCCUGACCCCACUGGAAUGCAUGGAUUUGCAUUUGUUCUUCCAGGAGUGUCUAACUGGAUGUCCUCUGCAAAUUCAUCAAAUGUGCCAUCUUUUCCAUCAUGUGGUCAUCCCUGGGAUCAUCAUCGAACAUCGUUCUCCACCACUCUGGUCCAUGGAUGGUUGUUCUCUUUUGUCCAUUCCAUCAAAUGUCCUGAACACUGUCAGAAGAGGGAAAAGGCUAAUGGAGCUGUUAAGUCUAAGUAUGACUGCCAAGAUGAAUCCAAAAAAGCCAAAGAGCCUGAGCAUGUCAGACCUUCCUGCAGCCUGCCACACACACUUAAAACCCCAGGGAAAUGAGUGCGGCUCAGGAGGGGGGAAGAGCGCCAACCAGUCAGAUUGCUCAAUCCCAAGACAAAGAACUCGUGGAUCAUGGGCUAGAAAAAAGGGUUAA